rnacentral:snoRNA from 14 species
AGUAUACUGUGAUAUAGCAUAGCUCGGCAGACUUAACUCUGAUGAACAGUCGUGUCUUUCGCUCCUAUCUGGUGUAUCUG